GACGAACGCUGGCGGCGUGCUUAACACAUGCAAGUCGAACGAAGUGGCGAACGGGUGAGUAAUACGUGGGUAACCUGCCCUCCUUUUUGGGCUAAGCCUUGGAAACGGGGUCUAAUACCGAAUAAGGGGGGAUGGGCUCGGGGCCUUUCAGGUUGUGGGGGGGGGGAUGGCCUACCAAGGCGGUGACGGGUAGCCGGCCUGAGAGGGGGACGGGCAACAUGGGGGCGGGGAUACGGUCCAGAGUCCCACGGGAGGGAGAAGUUGGGGAUAUUGCACAAGGGGCGAGAGCCCGAUGCGGCGACGCGGCGUAGGGUAUGAGGGCUUUCGGGUUUUAAACCUAGUUGGCUAUCGAACCGGUAGGUGGAGAAGAAGCGCCGGCUAACUACGUGCCAGCAGCCGCGGUAAUUC
rnacentral:rRNA from 1 species